rnacentral:lncRNA from 1 species
CUUCAAGUUGGUUUGCCAACCGCCAAUAAACUCCAUUGAAGAAGAAGAGGAGGCUCCUUCUAAUUAUUUUUAAGGUAUGUAGAUUAACAGUUAAGUGUUUUAAAUUUCUAAGGAUGUCAUUGCGGAGUUCAGGUACGUGUUGCGCCGUCUGAGGUUGUACAAACAACCAGACCAAGUUGAAUUUGUGGCUCAACCAGCGAUGCUUUCAACACGGACCCAAAACAAGGAGGGAAUGCGGCUGUUCGACCCGGAACAACUUCCGACGAGCAAACCAAAACAUCCUGGCGGAAAAUUUUAAAACCUGAAGAAACCACCCAAAUACUUUGUGUUUGUUCGUUUCAUUUUGUUGAUAAAAAGCCGACUAAUGAAAACCCUAAUCCGACUCUGUGGCAGGGAGAAGAUAAACCACCGACGAAGAGACGUCGAGUCCGGAACAGGAGCGACAUUAACCCCAAAACAUCAGGUACCUCAGUGAUUUCACCGGGUAGAAACACAGACCAGUAAUUUCACUGUUUGUAGGAGUUUUUAACAGCAGGACAUUACAGAAAUAUGACCAGAAAGUCAGUGUAAAUAAAAGCAUCCAUCCAAAAUGUUACCAUCUGAUGAAUUAUACCAAAGUUAACUUGUAGCCAAUUUACUAUUUCCUUUAGCAAAUUACACUCAGAGAUAGACUGAUUAAAGUUGGCUGAUUUUGAGGUUAUCAGUAUUAUGUUGGCAUCAGCCCUCACAAGGCCGAUAUCAUCAGAGUCUUUUCUAAAUGGAGACACUUUGUCCUCUACCUCCACUCAACAGCAUAUUAAAUCUAAACAGUCACUGACUCGUGUUUUAACUUUGCAUUAUAUUGUAAAAUUUUGUGUUAUCAGCAAUAUCAGCCAUGUUUAACAAUCUAUAGCAUAACCUUAUAUCCGUGUCUUCCUACUCCUUCAUUACAAAUCCCUCCAUAUUAUCUUACUGGCUAAGACAGCCUUGUAUGUAAGAUUUUAUUGUGCAUGGAUUAAUAAAUCUGUAUAUGACUUUUUUUAUAUAUUUGAACCCCAAUAUUUAUUUUGUAUUCAUUUUUCGUCAUAGCAAUCUUAAAUUGCUAGACAGAAUUUUAAAAAGUCAUUUUUCCUGUCUGAUUAAAUAUUCUUGUACGUUCAGUAAUUGUGUUUUUAAUUGUUUGUAUUUAAGUGAUGUGUUGUGUGACAUGCAAAAAUAAAUUUUAAAAAAGUAAGUCAACACAAUUUGACAUCCGCUGAUCUGAUCUCUCAUAACCAAUCAGGGCCACCAUCUUCUGCUAAUGUGUUUCUGCAGCAGCACAAAAAGAACAAAAAUACACAUUUUUGUAUUAAAUGAGUGGCUGUCUGUGUGAAAAGCACCAGAAAAAGAAAGAGAGAGAGGUUGUUGAAAACUUAAAAAAAUAAAAUGUUAUACAUUACAGGAGCUUUUUGUCUGCAAAGGCCACCAUAGUGUCACUGAUAUGAGGGGUGAACAAGCAUUUGAGAAUUUGACUACUAGGUGAUGGUGUUGCACAGAUUUUGUGUCUAAUAUUUUUAAGAUUUGUUUUUGUGACUUGCCUCUAGUAUGUGAUACAAUAUGAUAUUUGGGGAAGAAUAAAAGUGGGCAUAAAGGUUAUUGGCUGCAUUGGAUUUGAUAUUUUUUAAAACAUGAUUCUUGAAAUGAAGGGUUGAAUUUAGAUAUUCCACCUUACUCUCUAUUUCAGUAUUUUCAGCCUUGAUGAAAAUGUCAAAAGUUGAGAGUUGUGCUGCUUUGGUGAAUUUACAAGUUGAGCUUAAUUCAAAUGAGAGGUGAGAAAAAGAAAAAACUGUCUAUUUUAAGCUGUUGUGGCACUCAUUCAUUAAGUCAUUUAUAUUUUAUUCCAUUUAUAUUAUAUCUCUGUAUGAUGAAAUUUCCCUUGUAUUCUGUGUAAUGCAGGUUUGCAGUGCAAUAUGUCAAAGAUUGAAGAAAUGAACUAACAAACAAGACAAAUAUUUUAAUUCUACCAUAAAUAAUACAUGUAUUCCAUCCCAAAUAUAGACAGUCAGAAAAAUACUAUGUAUCAAAACUUUAUUUUCCUGAUUUUCAAGUGAAG